GACGAACGCUGGCGGCGUGCUUAACACAUGCAAGUCGAACGGAAAGGCCCUGCUUUUGUGGGGUGCUCGAGUGGCGAACGGGUGAGUAACACGUGAGUAGCCUGCCCUUGACUUUGGGAUAACUUCAGGAAACUGGGGCUAAUACCGGAUAGGAGCUCCUGCUGCAUGGUGGGGGGUGGAAAGUUUCGGCGGUUGGGGAUGGACUCGCGGCUUAUCAGCUGGUUGGUGGGGUAGUGGCUUACCAAGGCUUUGACGGGUAGCCGGCCUGAGAGGGUGACCGGCCACAUUGGGACUGAGAUACGGCCCAGACUCCUACGGGAGGCAGCAGUGGGGAAUAUUGCACAAUGGGCGGAAGCCUGAUGCAGCAACGCCGCGUGCGGGAUGACGGCCUUCGGGUUGUAAACCGCUUUCGCCUGUGACGAAGCGUGAGUGACGGUAAUGGGUAAAGAAGCACCGGCUAACUACGUGCCAGCCGCCGCCGUAAAAC
rnacentral:rRNA from 1 species